rnacentral:tRNA from 1 species
GCCGGAUAGCUCAGCCGGUAGAGCAGAGGACUGAAAAUC